GAUGAACGCUAGCGGCAGGCCUAACACAUGCAAGUCGAGGGGUAACAGGGGGUGCUUGCACUCCGCUGACGACCGGCGCACGGGUGCGUAACGCGUAUACAAUCUGCCUUAUACUGGGGUAUAGCCUUUAGAAAUGAAGAUUAAUCCCCCAUAGUCUCUAGAUGUGGCAUCACAAUUAGAGUAAAGGUUACGGUAUAAGAUGAGUAUGCGUUCUAUUAGUUUGUUGGUGAGGUAACGGCUCACCAAGACUACGAUAGAUAGGGGCCCUGAGAGGGGGAUCCCCCACACUGGUACUGAGACACGGACCAGACUCCUACGGGAGGCAGCAGUGAGGAAUAUUGGACAAUGGAGGCAACUCUGAUCCAGCCAUGCCGCGUGCAGGAAGACUGCCCUAUGGGUUGUAAACUGCUUUUAUAUAGGAAGAAACCUUGGUACGUGUACCAAGCUGACGGUACUAUAAGAAUAAGGAUCGGCUAACUCCGUG
rnacentral:rRNA from 1 species